UACGUAGGGGGCGAGCGUUGUCCGGAUUCAUUGGGCGUAAAGCGCGCGUAGGCGGCCCCGCAAGUCGGCCGUGAAAUCUCCGGGCUCAACUCGGAGGGGUCGGGCGAGACUGCGGAGCUAGAGGCGGGCAGAGGGCAGUGGAAUUCCGGGUGUAGUGGUGGAAUGCGUAGAGAUCCGGAGGAACACCAGUGGCGAAGGCGGCUGCCUGGGCCCGGCCUGACGCUGAGGCGCGAAAGCGUGGGGAG
rnacentral:rRNA from 1 species